rnacentral:rRNA from 1 species
AUUGAACGCUGGCGGCAUGCUUUACACAUGCAAGUCGAACGGCAGCGCGGGCUUCGGCCUGGCGGCGAGCGGCGAACGGGUGAGUAAUACAUCGGAACGUGCCCAGUAGUGGGGGAUAGCUCGGCGAAAGCCGGAUUAAUACCGCAUACGACCUGAGGGUGAAAGCGGGGGAUCUUCGGACCUCGCGCGAUUGGAGCGGCCGAUGGCAGAUUAGCUAGUUGGUGGGGUAAAGGCCUACCAAGGCGACGAUCUGUAGCUGGUCUGAGAGGACGACCAGCCACACUGGAACUGAGACACGGCCCAGACUCCUACGGGAGGCAGCAGUGGGGAAUUUUGGACAAUGGGCGAAAGCCUGAUCCAGCAAUGCCGCGUGUGUGAUGAAGGCCUUCGGGUUGUAAAGCACUUUUGGCGGGAACGAAAAGGACUGUGCCAAUACCACGGUUCGAUGACGGUACCCGCAGAAUAAGCACCGGCUAACUACGUG